AGGGCGAGGCUUAUCCAUUGCACUCCGGAUGUGCUGACCCCUGCGAUUUCCCGAAAUGUGGGAAACUCA
rnacentral:snRNA from 1 species